rnacentral:tmRNA from 1 species
GGGGCUGUUUGGUUUUGACAGCAGGCAGAAAGGGUAUGUAAGCAUGUCGAGCGGGGUGAAAACGGCUCGUAAAUCUCGGUUCACAAAAGCAUAACUGGCGAAAAUAACUACGCUCUUGCUGCUUAAUCGAAGUAUAGUAGAUAAGCUUUAUCCAGGUACAAGGUACCAGGACGAGACAUCCUCCCGCGGCCGUCGCUCCGAGGCCAACGAACAGAGGGUGCAGCUAAAUCGGGGAUAGUGACGACUGGCCUCGCAGCCGUCAUGAACUAACAGAGGAUAAGGCGUGAGUAGGUGGCUUCGGUCUUGCUCCCGCACGAAAACCCAAGCGAAGAUAAACAUGUAGAAAGCGUAUUAUUUCCUUGUUUGGACGAGGGUUCGACUCCCUCCAGCUCCACAU